rnacentral:rRNA from 1 species
UACAGAGGUCCCAAGCGUUGUUCGGAUUCAUUGGGCGUAAAGGGUGCGUAGGCGGCGCGGUAAGUCGGGUGUGAAAUCUCGGGGCUUAACUCCGAAACUGCAUUCGAUACUGCCGUGCUUGAGGACUGGAGAGGAGACUGGAAUUUACGGUGUAGCGGUGAAAUGCGUAGAUAUCAGGAGGAACACCGGUGGUGUAGACGGCUCUCUGGACCAUAACUGACGCUGAGACACGAAAGCGUGGGUAGCAAACAGG